rnacentral:antisense_RNA from 1 species
GUACGCUCUGGGUCUGCAGAUGGCGUCCUGGGUCUGCAGAUGGCGUCCGGGGUCUGCAGAUGGCGAGUGUGAUUCCGCAGUCUUGGGCUGUUUGGCCAAGCGCCCGCCGGACAUGGUACGCCGAAGGGUCAUCGGCGUGGAGUCCUCGGUUUCAGCGUCCGCGGCUGGGAAGUCGGCCAUCGCUACGGCCGGAACUGGGACUCGGGAUGCGUCCCGGCCCUUCCCCAUCGGUCCACCGCACUCGUGGGCGCCCGCAUUGGUGCUGACAUAAUAUCCUGACCUCUGACCCGUAUUGUCUCGCGAUUAAAGGUCCAGAUUUUGAACAAAUCUCUCUAGAGAUUGAACAGAGCUGCGCCUGGAUCCCGCCGCAGUGAGGAGACCUGAAGACCAGAGGAAACACAGCAAGUAGGCCCUUUAAACCACUCACCUGUGUUGUCUUCCAGUUUAUUCUGUUUUAUUUUGUUUCCAUCAUUUUAAGGGGUUAAAAUCAUCUUGUUCAGACCUCAGCAUAUAAAAUGACCCAUCUGUAGACCUCAGGCUCCAACCAUAUCCCAAGAGUUGUCUGGUUUUGUUUAAAUUACUGCCAGGUUUCAACUGCAGAUAUCUCUGGAAGGAAUAUUCCAGAUUCCCUGAGUAGUUUCCAGGUUAAAGUCCUAUAGGCUUCUUCUGUUU